rnacentral:rRNA from 1 species
CCAAUAGCGUAUAUUAAAGUUGUUGCAGUUAAAAAGCUCGUAGUUGAAUUUCGGGGUUAGUAAGUUGGUCGUGCCACUGGUAUGUACUGGCUUUACUGAUUCCUCCUUCUUGUAGAACCGUAAUGCCAUUAAGUUGGUGUUGCGGGGAAACAGGACUGUUACUUUGAAAAAAUUAGAGUGUUUAAAGCAGGCUAACGCUUGAAUACAUUAGCAUGGAAUAAUGAAAUAGGACGUUCGAUCCUAUUUUGUUGGUUUCUAGGAUUGACGUAAUGAUUAAUAGGGAUAGUUGGGGGUAUUAGUAUUCAAUUGUCAGAGGUGAAAUUCUUGGAUUUAUUGAAGACUAACUACUGCGAAAGCAUUUGCCAAGGAUGUUUUCAUUAAUCAAGAACGAAAGUUAGGGGAUCGAAGACGAUCAGAUACCGUCGUAGUCUUAACCAUAAACUAUGCCGACUAGGGAUCGGAUGAUGUUAAUUUUUUAAUGACUCAUUCGGCGCCUUACG